ensembl:snRNA U6 U6 spliceosomal RNA
GUUCUGUUUAGUAUCACAUACACAACAAUUGGAAUGAUACAGAGAAGAUUAGCAUGGCACCUGUGCAAGGAUGACAUGAAAGUGAAAGCACAAUGGUCCAAAAUCUUU